rnacentral:lncRNA from 1 species
UGAUCACAGGAAUCUCCAAAAAGCAUUUCUUUAGUUCUGCUGGAGUCUGAAGGGUUAAAUAGAAAGGGGUGAAACUGAAAGCUGUUGUAACGGACCGCUUUUAAAAAGGAGAGCAGAGAGGAUUUCAAAGCUCAGCGCUUUAUACUUCAAGUUUUGACUGAUCAGGAUGGACCCUCAAAACGUCAGCAGUGAAGGACUGCCUGACUCAGGACUGCAGACAUUCAAAGAAGAACAUCCAGAGCCCAGCUGUGUGUCUAUGAAGAGCAGCCGCUCGAUGUUUCAGCCUCCUGUAUUCAGUAAUGAAAGAAGCAGUGCUGACUUUAGACUGCAGACAUUCAGAGCAGAACCUCCAGAGCCCAGCUGUGUGUCUAUAAAGAGCAGCCAGUCGAUGUUUCAGCCUCCUGUAUUUAGUAAUGAAAGAAUCAGUGCCGACUUCAGGUGAGACUUUAAUACAAUGUGAACACAACAGGCCUUUAUAGCACAGACUGUGUAGAUAAACUAAACCAGAGAGUAAAGCUCUUCAGUUGUUGUUCCUGCUGUUAUUAACCCACUGCUUACCGACUGAGAGGUGACAGAAAGUUCAGUUAUGGUCAGAGCGCUGUAGCCAG